GAUAUCUCUGCUCCAUUGACUUGACUCUCUUUCAUAAUCAGAUCGGGUGGCUUUAUUUUCUUUUGUAUCAUCUGGUCUUCUUCCAUGAAAAUAGUUUCAUGCAUUAUCGCUCCUUCCACGGGAGAACAUUAGUGGUCAUGGAGGGAUGCUUGCAAUUUGUCCAUAAUGUCGAGGUUCAAUAUGGCUUGCUGUUGAGUAUUUUGGUUAUCACAUGGGUUUUGUUUGUGUAGGUAUUUUGGUUGGGUAAGUCGAGUUGUAUCUUAUGAUGCUGCAUCAUAUGAUGGGCUAGGGCUGGUUUGAAUUUUGU